rnacentral:rRNA from 1 species
GACGAACGCUGGCGGCGUGCCUAAUACGUGCAAGCCGAGCGCAGGAAACCGUCUGAACCCUUCGGGGGGACGACGGUGGAAUGAGCGGCGGACGGGUGAGUAACACGUAAAGAACCUGCCCACGGGUCUGGGAUAACCACGAGAAAUCGGGGCUAAUACCGGACGGGUCAUCGGACCGCAUGGUCCGAGGAUGAAAGGCGCUCCGGCGUCGCCCGUGGAUGGCUUUGCGGUGCAUUAGCUAGUUGGUGGGGUAACGGCCCACCAAGGCGACGAUGCAUAGCCGACCUGAGAGGGUGAUCGGCCACACGGGGACUGAGACACGGCCCAGACGCCUACGGGAGGCAGCAGUAGGGAAUCUUCCCCAAUGGACGAAAGUCUGAUGGAGCAACGCCGCGUGAACGAUGAAGGCCCUCGGGUCGUAAAGUUCUGUUGUAAGGGAAGAACAAGUGCCGCAGGCAAUGGCGGCACCUUGACGGUACCUUGCGAGAAAGCCACGGCUAACUACGUGCCAGCCGCCGCCGUAAAAC